UUUAUUUUAUUUUUAUAAAAUGUAAACUUUCAUUAAACUUACAUACAUAUCAAAAGCCCACAACUAAACACAAACAAAAAAAUGGGCCAGCACAACAACCCAACCCAAGGGUUGAGCCCGAAAAAGAAAGAAAAAAACUGAAAACCUAGCUGCUUAGUUCCCUUGCUGCCGUCGAAGCAAGCUCUGGCGACCAUGAACCAGCAAUCCAACAAACACCAGAGGUGAAGACCAUGAAUCGCGAUAUCCAAUCAUGAUUUCCUGCCUUUGACGACCCCUGAGCACAAACAAACAUAAUUUUCCUUCAGCUUAUGAAUUAACAAUCACAAAUUUUGCACCUUUAUGACAAUAAAAACAUUAUUUCCAGUGUUCAA
rnacentral:lncRNA from 1 species